GACGUAGGGGACGAGCGUUGUCCGGAUUCAUUGGGCGUAAAGCGCGCGUAGGCGGUUACGCAAGUCGGUUGUGAAAAUCCGGGGCUCAACCCCGGACCUGCAUCCGAUACUGCGUGACUAGAGGUAGGUAGGGGAGAUCGGAAUUCCUGGUGUAGCGGUGGAAUGCGCAGAUAUCAGGAAGAACACCCGGUGGCGAAGGCGGACUCUG
rnacentral:rRNA from 1 species